rnacentral:rRNA from 1 species
AACGUAGGAGACAAACGUUAUCCGGAGUUACUGGGCGUAAAGGGCGUGUAGGUGGUUCUGUAAGUCUGGCGUGAAAUUUCUCGGCUUAACCGAGGCAGGUCGUCGGAUACUGCAGGGCUAGAGGACGGUAGAGGCGUGUGGAAUCCGGGUGUAGUGGUGAAAUGCGUAGAGAUCCGGAGGAACACCAGUGGCGAAGGCGACACGCUGGGCCGUACCUGACACUGAUGCGCGACAGCAUGGGGAGCAAACAGG